UACGUCACUUCCGCUCUACCUGAUGAUACCGUAGUGCCGUGCGGAAGCAGCGGGUAGUGGACUUCCGGCCGGCUGCCCGCCAUGUUGCCUCAGGAGCGGCGGGAUCCGCGCCCGCUUUACCGCCUGGUGCUGGCCGCUUUGGUGUUGCUUUCCUGGGGCUACGUGCUGUACGGGGCGCGGGAGGCGGCGCGACGGCAGCUGCAGAGCGAACUAUCGGUGCCUCGGCUGCCAUAGCACGGCGGGAUGGGCGGACACCGAGGGAGCUUCGGAGAAUGGGAGGAGCUGCUUGGCCAACACCGCGAAUAAAGGUUCAGCUGCUGUAAGAAACAAGGACACGGAAGCUUUAAUCCGCUCAUUGAUUGUUUGUUACAUCGUGUUCGAGGCUGCAGUCUGCUACAGCGUCUGUGUGUAGCCCCAGCUCUCACCCUGUCCUCAUAGGAGAGGUGUUCCACUCCUUGGGUCGUUUCUGUGUCCCUCCUCUAGUUGCACUCCCAACAGAUCCACGUCUCUCCUCCGCAUCUGGAUGCAGUACUCCAGGUGAGGUCUCACCAGUGCAGAAUAAAGGAGCAGAAUCACCUUCCUCGACUUGCUGGCUGUGCUGAUUUUGAUGCAGCCCAGGGUACAGAUGGCUUUCUGGGUUGCAGGAGCACACUGCUGGCUCAUAUCCAGCUUGCCAUGUACCAGUACCUGCAAGUCCUUUUUGUCAGAGCUCGUGUUCAUUGGUUUCAUACUCACUACCCUCGAGUCAUCCCAAAGGCAGGUGUGCUUCUGCUGUCAUCCUUCAGAUACUCCAUUCCUCCCCUCACACCCACACAGGCCUCUCUACCCAUCUGUUUCCUUGGUCAUUUGCAGGGUAGAGUUAUCAACAGCCAGCCAAGCUGAAAGUUUGCUAUCAAAUUACAUUCCUCUGCAGAUAUAUUUCCUCAUGGGGUUUGACAGUAAUGCUGAAGCACUUUGGCUUGCCAAUACCAGAUAUAUGCUGUGAUCAGCAGUCCUGGUGCUGGCAGUUGCUUUUGCUUUACUCAUACUGGUUGUGCCAGUUACUGCACCUGAGACACACACACUGAUCCUGUCCUAGGUGCUAAGGCUGAAAUCAUUUACCACAUCCAUUACUGCCACCAGGACACUUUAUCUCCUUCUCUUGACAGCACAACAGGAGUGACACCGAUGCAGAUGGUUCCCAUCUGGUCUACUUCCUAAAUGCAAUGUGUAUGUCAUUUCUUAGUUACAGGUUCAGCUGUGCUGUGGCAAUGCAGACAGAGGCUGACUAGCCGAGCAUCCACUACCCAGAGCUGUUUCACCAGUGAGCAGCCACCAGAUGGAGAAGCACUCCACAUCAAGGCUUCUGAGUCCCGGCAGUUCCCUUACCUGCGGUGAAACCCCCUCUUCAAGAGGACAGACCUCUCAGAAACCUGUGAUUUAGAUUCAGCUCAGUUUGCCACAUUGGAGGAAAUCUUCACUUUGAAUCUUCUGCCCAGAAGUUAUGCACUGUCAUGAGGCCAAGCCAUAAGGGUCAUUGUCCAGGAUUAGGCUCUUGAUUUGUGACCAUACAGGACUGCUCUGAAGGCAUUUUCUGAACUUGUCAAGAUGGCAGAACAUAUGCAGUGAGCUCCUUGAGCUUCCUCCUCUGUGACAUGCAUUGCAUGGAAGAACAUGAGGACAGCAUGCAUGCUGAGGUGCAGCAGAAGGUAUUCUCUUCCACUCAGAUGAGGAUUAUUUUGAAAUGGUAAGAGCAGCUGAGAGCAGAAUAUUGCCAGCAGAAAAGGGACAGUGUUUACUUCAUCCUCUGGUGUGACUUUAGUCUUAAGAUCUUUGGCUGUUAGUAAUUAGCAAACAAUAUGACAAUAUGUUUUCACUUAACAUUCUGAUUUUUUUUGGUUGAGAUUUCUUUUUCCUAGUCCUCUUUUCCAAAUUGACUCCAUACUUAUGCUGAUACAAGUAGCAAAAUAACCAAAAAUUACUAAAAUAUUUAAGAAAUGGUGAACUGCAGUUAAGACUAAAUAUAUACUAUUUUUUAUCAUAAAGCACGAGCUCAAUGCCAGCAGAGCAUAACUCAAUAACUCAAACACAGGCCAAGAAAAAAAAAAAAAAGAAGAAGAAAAAAAAGCCCAUACUAUUUAAAUACUAGGCUAUCUAGGCAGUUUGAUAACCAUACUUAUCUUUUUGCAACAGCUGCAGUGGUCCAGCUGUACCUCCAUAUUUCUGGAGUCUCUCAGGCACAUGAUAACAGAGUCUUCUGUACUAUCAUUUUCCAGCUGUAACUGUGACUGGACAACACAUUUUGUAACAGGCAGAGCAUGCCUAAUGCUAGGAGGUGAAAUCUGUAGUGCAAGAAAAGAGGGAAGAAUGGGAAGAGAGGCCUCCUUUAGCAGAUUAAAGCCCAGACCUAUACAAAUGGCCUAUAUGCCCUUAAAUGGGGCAAAUAAUUCCAUCACUGUUAAUGAGGUCAAACCAACAAGCUCCACCUUAGUAAAUGCUGAGCUCUUUUCCAGACAGCAGAGCUGCUUGGGUACGUCAUGGACACAGAAAUACACUGAGCAAUAUGAACAUUUCAGCCCUGGUUUCCAUUUUUGUGCUAUUGGUGACAGCUGUCAGGAGUGACGUGCCAAAUGAAAAGGUAGUCCAUUCAACUCAUAUGCUUUGCUGUGGGACACAGAGGGCUGUAAUCCUGCAGAUUUCAUUCACUGUGACUUACAGCGUUCCACCUCAGUAAAGAACCAAGAGAUGUGGUGUCCAGUAAUGCAGGUGUCAGCUCUGCCCAAAACAAACCAAACCAGAGAGGAGUCCUCUUUCUCUCCUCAGCACAAGGGGCUGUGCCACUCACACUGAUGGAUCUGCCUCUUUCAUCACAGAGAUUCUUCCUUUCUGAAUAGCACAUUAAUUCUGCCUUCCAGUGGAGGAAAAAAUGAAAAGACAGCUGCACAGGAAAUUUGGGGCUUCAAUAAAAAGAGAGGUUUCACAACAAACAUUAGCGUAUUGUUGAGAAUUCAGGAAAAAAAAGUUACUUUUCCAGCUAAGAAGAGCAAAUUAAUAUGUAUUAGCACAAAGUCUAUGUACAAAUAUAUAACUUCAUAUGCUUCAUGAAGCAGUUCUAUCUUAGAUAACUGACUCUUCUUUUGUACAGACAGUAAAAAAAGUCAGAAAACUUACAUUUCUUAGCAUGGAUCUCAUCAGACUUGGGUGAAGACUCCUGAUUGUAUUGUCUGCACAAGAUCCACCCACAGUUAAUCUACGAAUAACAGGAACACAAGGCAGAGAGAUGCCACUGAGAUGGGACAACUGCACAGACAGAAAUAAAUAGUGGACACCUUCUCAGCACCUCAUGCAUUUGCUGCUCAUCUUUCCAGGACUUACAAGAUGUGUGACCUAAUUUAACUAAAACAACCCUAAACAAUGGCAUUUAUUAAACAGAAUGUGUGAAGAGGAUGUGAGUGACACAGAAGUUCAACUAUACAUGGCAUGAGAGUACAAAAGCUUUUUUUGUUUGUGUCUAACAAUUUCCUUAGAAGUCAAUAAUGAGAACUUGGAGGAGUUCACAUCCUCCUUUCAUCUGAUUGGGGAGAGUGAAGUUCAUUUCUAGGAAAAACUUACACAAAACCUCUGAUAACCUCUCAUUAUCAGAAAAGCAUUAGAGGAUUAAAAAAGAAAGGUAUCUCUAUACCUGUGGAGGUUUAUGUGGAUAUAUAUAGUGCCUCCACUCUGUAUGCCACUUUGUACAUGAAAAGUAUAUGAUAUGUACUGCCGACUUUUCUACAUUUCUUGCCUUAUGCCACCUUGCAAUUCUUCCACUAUUUUUUUUUCCCCUGGUAAUCUGGGAAAUUGAUGUAUCACUUUCCUUAAUGUCAGCAUCAAAAACCUUAAUUUGUUCUUUCCAUGGAUGUAAAACUACUUGCUGAGGUACCUUUAGCUUUUGAGAAUAACACUCUGCACAUGGGGUAAAAUCAGCAGCUUCAAGCUCCACUUCUUGACUUGUUCAAGACUUCCAUCUUCUUUACUUGUUUCACCUGAAGAGUUACACAGCAGUCAAUGCACUUCAUACCCUCCUACUGAGCUUGAAAAAAGGCAACCAGCAAAAAAUCCAUCUAAAUACUGCAAAAUAAUGAGGUGCGUUUCAUUGUUGAAAUACAAACUCAUGAAUUACCUUGUAAUGAGAACAGUAACAAAUAAUCAAGGGAGCGUUUUUGUUUUAUCACUAGUCAAGUCCAGCAUAUUCCAACAUGUUUAAGUACCUACACAGGCAUAUUUUAUAAAACAACCAAAGCUGAAACACACAUAAAAGAAAAGCAGCAUUUGGCAUUGUCUAGUCCCUGCAAACUGAACUGGUCAUGGCUUACAUUAAAUCAUUCAGGGAUCUGAAGCACAGGAUGCUUUGCAUCACGUAUGCUCAGGCAAAGCACUGAUGUUUGUGGCACUCAUUAAAGAAGUGUAGAGAAGAUUUGCUCCCCAAGAAAUUCUUAAUGAAUAGUUUACCCCAAAUUGCUCUCCAGCUAUGGAGUGAGAUGCUGCAGAGACCAGCUCUGAAUGCUGGGCACUAGAGCAGGCUCAGUGCAAAGAAGACUUCACCAUCUGCCUCUCCUCAGAGUUUUCAGUAAGCAGCCUAGUCUAGGCUCACAUGUGCUUCCCACAUCCUAGAAAUCCAGGCUUUCCUGGGGAGACAAGACUAAGGUGUUUCAAAGAACAAAGCUAGCACCAGUUCAACACAGAAGAACUACCCAUUUCAGAGGUAUUAUUAUAUCCCUUGGGUCUGGCUGAUACCCAAGACAACCAGGUUCAAAGUCUUGCCAGAGAUGUGAAUACAGACAUAGGACUCUAGAGAUGGCGUAGCAAGAGGGCAUUUAGCCAAGGAGUUCUGUGAACUGACCAGCUCUUUCAGUUCCACCUGGCAUCUCUAGCAUCAUUAGAAAGAGUUUCAUCCAUUUCAAGAGAGUUUGGAUUACUUUCCGGUGUGGGACCUUUUUAGUCUCAUGCAGGAAAAGCAUCUGCCUAGCAUGAAUUAGUCAAUUAGUAUAGUUUUGCAGUGGCUUGCAUGCUGAAAGGUGAAAGACUCCCUGAGGCUGGUUAUAAAUUCACAGUGUUGUUAUUGCCUUUAGUUGUUGCAGUGAUGAAUUAGCAAGCCAUAUGAGAUCAUGGAUGAAACCGAUCUACCACUGCACUCAACUAUCAAAGAACCUGCAAUGCUGACAGGAAGGAAAAUAUUUACUCAUUUCACAGGUGGUAAUCUCAGACAGAUCAAGGAUUAGCUCUGCAGGAGUCAUCUAAAGAAGCAGAAAUCACGUGGUGUGCUCUCCAUGCUUUCCAAUGUCUUGGCAUGCUUUCACAUGGAAAUUCAUUUCAGAAGAAUCCAGUGAAGUCCAGCAGAAGGCAUCUGGCCUUAACAGGAUCACAACAAUCUGCCACAGCUCACUGCAUGUUGUAAAGCUACAGACAAUACGUACCACCAGGUUGAUAGGGACUCCUUUUAGAUGUUUCAAGAGGAAGUAAUAAUUUCAUUACUUCACCUCUCUCUGGGCCCCAAAUGCAUUAUGUGUGCCAAAUAAACAUCCGCUCUUGCUCUGAUAGUGGGGCUGGUUCUCUGAUUCUCUCUGUGUGCACAGCACAGAGCCCAUACCAAAGACCGAAAUGCUGACCCAGUGUUCUUACUGUAAUAACAGAGGCAUAGCUUUGUGGCCUCACUUCCACUCCAGUCAAGUGACCACAUUUUUCUUGAGACUGAAGCAAUGCUCCCUGGAGGCUCUACGAGCAACAGCUCCUUCUCCAACAGGAGAUAAAAUGAAAGACGAAGAUCUACAAGCCAGCAGAGAGCAAGACUUUUUAAGGCUGUACGACCUGGGGUACAAGAAAGAAUCACGCACAGCUUGUGCUACUAAUUAACACCACCACCUCCAGGGGGAACAGUCAGGAUAAAUAUCAACUCCUUUUUUAUUCCCUUUUGCCAGAGCCUGCUGGUGCCACAGCAAAACUGUAAGUUGGACAAAAUGGUACAUCCCAGCCUUCAACCUUUUUACCCCUCACACUGCCUUCCCUACAGUAGCUACAGAUCCACUCCCAGAUCCUUCUGUAUCCCCCAGGCACAAGGCAUGCCAUGUUUUGAUCCUCUUAUGUGAGGACAGAUCUAGCAGAAGAAGGAAAUAUCAGGACUGCUUAUCUGGGGUGAGUUCCAUUUGCCACUCACCACUCACAGGGGACAGCUGGCAUGCGAACUGUGUAUCUCUAAAUAAAACUUGUGAGGACAUAGCAGUGAGGAGAUGGGCAAAUUCCACGUGAGGUGGGUUUUUCUGCUCAGCUUUUUCUUCACCCAGAGCAGAUCCACACUGUGGCAAACUCUUGAGUUUGUUUGCCUCUGAAACCCCCUAAUACCUCUAUGCAUUAAAGAAGGAACGAGCAGGUUGGUAUUUUUGCAGCAGACAGAACUGAAUCUCUGCCUGAGAAAAGAUGCAUGUGAUUGAAAAGGCAUUUUCCCAGGGGAGUUCCUGUUUCCUGGAGCUCUGUCAUUGCUGAUUAUUUUUCCUGGAUUGCCCAUUCAAGCCUUUUCUUUCUAACUUUCUUAUCUCCUAGAGCGACCAGCUUUUUAGAAACUUCAAAUCAAGGAAUAAAAUCAGCAAUAUUCUGAUUACAGACAAGCUCUGAAGACAACAUAAGUGGACUUAUAAGAGCACAGUAUUAAGCCACAAAUCUGACAGUGCCCAGUUGCUGAAACACAUCGUGGAACAUAAGACACAUUCUGACCUAAGAAGGGAAGUGAUUUUACUCACAGAUAUAAGGACAUCUCCCUGUUAGAGAGCAUCAUUUAUUCAUCUCCCAUCCUUCUUCUUGGCACUCAGUGAAGGGUGCCCAUAAGGUCUCAAUGGUGAAAUUAGUUUUUUUUUAGUUUUCUUUGAUUUCUCAUAAGCCUCGAGCACUGGACAUGAACCACCAUCUCAUUUUGAUGUGAGCUGCAGGCAGCUGUCAGAUGGUAGCAUUGCACACCAGUAUGUGAACAUGAAUUGAGUCAGACUUGUAAAGCUCAACUUCCAUAACUGCUCCAUUAAGCUAGCUGAGAAAAAAAAAUAAUUAAGAGAAAAGGAAGAAAAACAAGGAAAAAGAAUCAAAUUUACAGCAUUUUAAAACUAGAAUUAACCUUCAAAUUUAGAGGUUAUUAUUCUCUGAGGAAAACUACACAUUCUGUCUCCUGGAGAUGAAAGGACACACAGAAUCUAAACCAGCGUCAUAAUCAAAAAGACAAGAUGUAUACGGCAUGCAGCCACUUUCAGAAAUAAAGGAUUUUUUGCAAAAUCA